UACAGAGGUCUCAAGCGUUGUUCGGAUUCAUUGGGCGUAAAGGGUGCGUAGGUGGCGCCGUAAGUGGGGUGCGAAAUCUCGGGGCUUAACUCCGAAACUGCAUUCGAUACUGCCGUGCUUGAGGACUGGAGAGGAGACUGGAAUUUACGGUGUAGCGGUGAAAUGCGUAGAUAUCGUAAGGAAGACCAGUGGCGAAGGCGGGUCUCUGGACAGUUCCUGACGCUGAGGCACGAAGGUCAGGGGAGCAAACGGG
rnacentral:rRNA from 1 species